rnacentral:rRNA from 1 species
UGCAGUCGAACGAUGAACCCGCUUCGGUGGGGGAUUAGUGGCGAACGGGUGAGUAACACGUGGGCAAUCUGCCCUUCACUCUGGGACAAGCCCUGGAAACGGGGUCUAAUACCGGAUAUGACCACUUCGGGCAUCCGAUGGUGGUGGAAAGCUCCGGCGGUGAAGGAUGAGCCCGCGGCCUAUCAGCUUGUUGGUGGGGUAAUGGCCCACCAAGGCGACGACGGGUAGCCGGCCUGAGAGGGCGACCGGCCACACUGGGACUGAGACACGGCCCAGACUCCUACGGGAGGCAGCAGUGGGGAAUAUUGCACAAUGGGCGAAAGCCUGAUGCAGCGACGCCGCGUGAGGGAUGACGGCCUUCGGGUUGUAAACCUCUUUCAGCAGGGAAGAAGCGCAAGUGACGGUACCUGCAGAAGAAGCGCCGGCUAACUACGUGCCAGCAGCCGCGGUAAUACGUAGGGCGCAAGCGUUGUCCGGAAUUAUUGGGCGUAAAGAGCUCGUAGGCGGCUUGUCGCGUCGGAUGUGAAAGCCCGGGGCUUAACCCCGGGUCUGCAUUCGAUACGGGCAGGCUAGAGUGUGGUAGGGGAGAUCGGAAUUCCUGGUGUAGCGGUGAAAUGCGCAGAUAUCAGGAGGAACACCGGUGGCGAAGGCGGAUCUCUGGGCCAUUACUGACGCUGAGGAGCGAAAGCGUGGGGAGCGAACAGGAUUAGA